AAACCAUGGUAGGGACACUGCCUUCACAAAAUCUUGAAUCUAUCCCAUGCUACAAAUAGUGAUUCUCCAUCCGUCUGAGCAAAGUUUGUGAUGUAAUUCCUCAUGU